CGCUGGCGGCGUGCCUAACACAUGCAAGUCGAGCGAUGAAGCUCCUUCGGGAGUGGAUUAGCGGCGGACGGGUGAGUAACACGUGGGCAACCUACCUCAGAAUGGGGGAUAGCCUCUCGAAAGGGAGAUUAAUACCGCAUAUAAUCAGAGAACCGCAUGGAUCUUUGAUGAAAGGAGCAAUCCGAUCUGAGAUGGGCCCGCGUCGCAUUAGCUAGUUGGUGAGGUAAAAGCUCACCAAGGCGACGAUGCGUAGCCGACCUGAGAGGGUGAUCGGCCACAUUGGAACUGAGACACGGUCCAGACUCCUACGGGAGGCAGCAGUGGGGAAUAUUGCACAAUGGGGGAAACCCUGAUGCAGCAACGCCGCGUGAGUGAUGACGGUCUUCGGAUUGUAAAGCUCUGUCUUUUGGGACGAUAAAUGACGGUACCAAAGGAGGAAGCCACGGCUAACUACGUG
rnacentral:rRNA from 1 species